rnacentral:rRNA from 1 species
GCUUAAAGGGGCCGUAGCCGGUCGUGAAAAUUCUUUGUGAAAUCGUGCAGCUCAACUGUACGGCGUGCAGGGAACACUCCACGACUAGAGACAGGGAGGAGCUAGAAGUAUGCUAAGGGGACCGGUAAAAUGGGAUAAUCCUUAGUAGACUACCGAUGGCGAAGGCAUCUAGCCAGAACUGAUCUGACGGUGAGGGACGAAAGCCAGGGGAGCGAUCCGGAUUAGAUACCCGAGUAGUCCUGGCCGUAAACGCUGCGAGCAAGGUGUUGCGUAUCUUACAUGGAUGCGCAGUGUCGAAACGAAGGUGUUAAGCUCGCCGCCUGGGAAGUACGGUCGCAAGGCUGAAACUUUAAGGAAUUGGCGGGGGAGCACUACAAGGGGUGCGGCGUGCUGUUCAAUCUAAUUUAACGCAGAAAACCUCACUAGAAGCGACGGCAGGAUGAAGGUCAAGCUGAAGACUUUACCUGACGAGCCGAGAGGUAGUGCAUGGCCGUCGUCAGCUCGUGCUGUGAGGUGUCCAGUUAAGUCUGGCAACGAGCGAGACCUGCACCUACAGUUUCUAACGACCCUUCGGGGGAUCGAGCACACUGUAGGGACUGCUCCGGUAACGGAGAGGAAGGUGCAGGCUACGGUAGGUCUGUAUGCUCCGAAUCUUCUAGGCUACAAGCGCGCAACAAUGGCAGUGACAAUGGGAUGCUACUCCGAAAGGAGGCGCUAAUCCUCGAAACACUGUCCUAGUCUAGAUUGAGGCUUGCAACUCAGCCUCAUGACAACGGAAUCCCUAGUAAUUGGAAUUCAUCAUAUUCCAGUGAAUAUGUCCCUGCUCCUUGUACCCACCGCCCGU